rnacentral:rRNA from 1 species
AUUGAACGCUGGCGGCAUGCCUUACACAUGCAAGUCGAACGGUAACAGGUCUUCGGAUGCUGACGAGUGGCGAACGGGUGAGUAAUACAUCGGAACGUGCCCGAGAGUGGGGGAUAACGAGGCGAAAGCUUUGCUAAUACCGCAUACGAUCUCAGGAUGAAAGCAGGGGACCGCAAGGCCUUGCGCUCACGGAGCGGCCGAUGGCAGAUUAGGUAGUUGGUGGGAUAAAAGCUUACCAAGCCGACGAUCUGUAGCUGGUCUGAGAGGACGACCAGCCACACUGGGACUGGGACACGACCCAGACUCCUACGGGAGGCAGCAGUGGGGAAUUUUGGACAAUGGGCGCAAGCCUGAUCCAGCCAUGCCGCGUGCAGGAUGAAGGCCUUCGGGUUGCAAACUGCUUUUGUACGGAACGAAAAGACUCCUUCUAAUAAAGGGGGUCCAUGACGGUACCGUAAGAAUAAGCACCGGCUAACUACGUGCCAGCAGCCGCGGUAACAC